rnacentral:rRNA from 1 species
GGGUCAGUGGGUUGGUCGUGCCACCGGUACGUACUGGUCUCACUGAUUCCUCCUUCCUGAAGAACCGUAAUGCCAUUAAUUUGGUGUUGCAGGGAAACAGGACUGUUACUUUGAAAAAAUUAGAGUGUUUAAAGCAAGCUAACGCUUGAAUACAUUAGCAUGGAAUAAUGAAAUAGGACGAUCGAUCCUAUUUUGUUGGUUUCUAGGAUUGACGUA